rnacentral:rRNA from 1 species
GUGCCUAAUACAUGCAAGUAGAACGCUGAAGAGAGGAGCUUGCUCUUCUUGGAUGAGUUGCGAACGGGUGAGUAACGCGUAGGUAACCUGCCUUGUAGCGGGGGAUAACUAUUGGAAACGAUAGCUAAUACCGCAUAACAAUGGAUGACACAUGUCAUUUAUUUGAAAGGGGCAAUUGCUCCACUACAAGAUGGACCUGCGUUGUAUUAGCUAGUAGGUGAGGUAACGGCUCACCUAGGCGACGAUACAUAGCCGACCUGAGAGGGUGAUCGGCCACACUGGGACUGAGACACGGCCCAGACUCCUACGGGAGGCAGCAGUAGGGAAUCUUCGGCAAUGGGGGCAACCCUGACCGAGCAACGCCGCGUGAGUGAAGAAGGUUUUCGGAUCGUAAAGCUCUGUUGUAAGUCAAGAACGAGUGUGAGAGUGGAAAGUUCACACUGUGACGGUAGCUUACCAGAAAGGGACGGCUAACUACGUGCCAGCAGCCGCGGUAAUACGUAGGUCCCGAGCGUUGUCCGGAUUUAUUGGGUGUAAAGCGAGCGCAGGCGGUUUGAUAAGUCUGAAGUUAAAGGCUGUGGCUCAACCAUAGUUCGCUUUGGAAACUGUCAAGCUUGAGUGCAGAAGGGGAGAGUGGAAUUCCAUGUGUAGCGGUGAAAUGCGUAGAUAUAUGGAGGAACACCGGUGGCGAAAGCGGCUCUCUGGUCUGUAACUGACGCUGAGGCUCGAAAGCGUGGGGAGCGAACAGGAUUAGAUACCCUGGUAGUCCACGCCGUAAACGAUGAGUGCUAGGUGUUGGAUCCUUUCCGGGAUUCAGUGCCGCAGCUAACGCAUUAAGCACUCCGCCUGGGGAGUACGACCGCAAGGUUGAAACUCAAAGGAAUUGACGGGGGCCCGCACAAGCGGUGGAGCAUGUGGUUUAAUUCGAAGCAACGCGAAGAACCUUACCAGGUCUUGACAUCCCGAUGCUAUUUCUAGAGAUAGAAAGUUACUUCGGUACAUCGGUGACAGGUGGUGCAUGGUUGUCGUCAGCUCGUGUCGUGAGAUGUUGGGUUAAGUCCCGCAACGGGCGCAACCCCUAUUGUUAGUUGCCAUCAUUCAGUUGGGCACUCUAGCGAGACUGCCGGUAAUAAACCGGAGGAAGGUGGGGAUGACGUCAAAUCAUCAUGCCCCUUAUGACCUGGGCUACACACGUGCUACAAUGGUUGGUACAACGAGUUGCGAGUCGGUGACGGCAAGCUAAUCUCUUAAAGCCAAUCUCAGUUCGGAUUGUAGGCUGCAACUCGCCUACAUGAAGUCGGAAUCGCUAGUAAUCGCGGAUCAGCACGCCGCGGUGAAUACGUUCCCGGGCCUUGUACACACCGCCCGUCACACCACGGGAGUUUGUAACACCCGAAGUCGGUGAGGUAACCUCUUGGAGCCAGCCGCCUAAGGUGGGAUAGAUGAUUGGGGUGAAGU